UUUCUGUGACCCUUACCCUUUGGUGAUGUCACUUCCUCUCUGUUAGCGCGCCUUUGUUCAGAUGGUCUGUGAAUCUGAUAGGAACAGGGAUGGAACGGGAACAGAAAUAAACCAGCUGGCGUGCAACAAAGUGGUUUCCCACCGUCAUUCUCCACACACAGCGCAGAGGAGAGAGAGUUAGCCCAGACCCGCUACAUUUAGACUAAACAGACAGGAGACAAAUGGAGAAACAAGUUGAGCAGCAGUUCUCUCUGAGGAGCUGCAUCCUGACUGACGGGCUGCACAUAUCCAUCAAAGCCAGGACUGAAAGAGGGGAUUGUUUUUAGCAGCUGCAGAGUUAAAGCAGAGCUGCUGGAAGCUGGAAGUCCGUGGUGUUAUACAGCAGAGUGGAGAGCUGGAAACACCUUGGUCUGGAUCAUUGGGAACAUCUAGUCUGAUGGACUGAGAGCUACAGAGAACCUGAACAUCCAGCUGUGGUUGUCUGAAGAGUCUUCUCUCCUUCAUCACUGUGAGGAAGAGCAGUACUGAUGUCCUCCUCAUCCUUCCAGUAAUAAAAAUAAUGCUGCAGAUUCAGCUCCUCUCUUCAGAAUACAACUUGUAUUGUUACUGUUCAGUUUUUACACUUCACUGUCAGCAACACAUUAUGUAUUUCAUCC
ensembl:lncRNA